ACGAAUGUUGAAGGAAACAAGUUGGACGCGUACUCUAAGUGCCAUCUAAGCUAAGGUGGCUUCAUUGGGUCACGGGAUUAACAAUCCAAUCCCACCUUUUGUUUUCAAUGUGAACCAACUCAAACUUCUCUGUUUUAUUUGAAAAUUGAUAUAUAUUUGGAAGCAUAUUAAUUCUUGUGUGAAUAUAAAAAUAUCAACUAUCUUUAUAUAUAUAUAUAUCCACUAAAAUUUAGAUCUCCUGUUUUUUCACGUCAUUCUUGAAUGUGUUUUUUUAUACAUUUGUUUAACUAAACACCUAAACCUUUAAACAAUAAUGGUUGUGUGUAUACAUCAUUGUUUUAUUGCAUAACUGCACCAUGUCGCUGUAUUGUUGGCUAAUAAUAAUAAUAAUAAUAAUAAUAAUAAUAAUAAUGUUAUUGGUCCUUCUUUUUCUUUUUCAUCUUGUUGUAGACAAGGUGUUUGAUAAAAUGUUGAAGUUAUGGAUAAGAGUAUCUAAAACUGGUGGAACUGUUUGUGGACUCUUUGGUUCAUUUGUUUUUAUGAAUUCUACAUUUUUAGCUCAGCUGUUGUUAGAGAUUUAUGAGCGAAAUUCUGUACCAAAAGCCUAAGAAGAUUGUUAAUGUCAUCAAUAAAGUCAAUGAGAAGAGAAUAAUUUCUGGUGAUAAAGGAAACAAUGCUGCUUUUACCAAUGGUGAUGAUCUUUCUCCUAUUGUUCUUCUUCAUGGGAUUUUUGGAUUUGGCAAAGGGGCACAAGAAUUAUUCUAUUAUUUGAAGGGUGGCCAAGUUGAUUAUGGAGAAGAGCACAGCAAGGCUUGUGGACACUCACAAUUUGAAAGAAUCUAUUAACAAGGUUUGAGGGAU